rnacentral:rRNA from 1 species
AGCGAACGCUGGCGGCGUGCCUAACACAUGCAAGUCGAGCGGACCGUUUGGGGAAACUCGGACGGUUAGCGGCGGACGGGUGAGUAACACGUGGGUAACCUACCUGGGAGACUGGGAUAACGGCUCGAAAGGGCCGCUAAUACUGGAUACGUUCCCUGGGGCACAAGCCUCGGGGAGGAAAGGUCGCGCAAGCAGCCACUCCCAGACGGGCCCGCGGCCCAUUAGCUAGUUGGCGGGGUAACGGCCCACCAAGGCAAUGAUGGGUAGCCGGUCUGAGAGGAUGACCGGCCACACGGGGACUGAGACACGGCCCCGACUCCUACGGGAGGCAGCAGUGGGGAAUCUUCCGCAAUGGGCGAAAGCCUGACGGAGCGACGCCGCGUGGGGGACGAAGGCCUUCGGGUCGUAAACCCCUGUCAGAGGGAAAGAAGGGUGCCGGCGUGAACAGCGCCGACAUUUGACGGUACCUCAAGAGGAAGCAUCGGCUAACUACGUGCCAGCCGCCGCAGUAA